UGGGGGAUAUUGCACAAUGGGGGAAACCCUGAUGCAGCGACGCCGCGUGGGUGAAGAAGCGCCUCGGCGCGUAAAGCCCUGUCAGCAGGGAAGAAAAUGGCGGUACCUGAAGAAGAAGCCCCGGCUAACUACUUGCC
rnacentral:rRNA from 1 species